UUAAGUUCAGCGGGUAUCCCUACCUGAUCCGAGGUCGACCUUGAUUGAAAUUUUAACGGUACGGGCCACCCCUCUCGCCAGCGAAUUUGAUGCCACAACGCUGAGAUACGGGCCGUCCAGCCGGUGAAAUUAAGGCGCGGGAGAGCCCCGCCGCCCAAUACCAAGCCGGGCUUGAGUGGUGUAAUGACGUUCGAACAGGC
rnacentral:misc_RNA from 1 species